GAAUCUUCGGCAAUGGACGAAAGUCUGACCGAGCAACGCCGCGUGAGUGAAGAAGGUUUUCGGAUCGUAAAACUCUGUUGGUAGAGAAGAACGUUGGUGAGAGUGGAAAGCUCAUCAAGUGACGGUAACUACCCAGAAAGGGACGGCUAACUACGUGCCAGCAGCCGCGGUAAUACGUAGGUCCCGAGCGUUGUCCGGAUUUAUUGGGCGUAAAGCGAGCGCAGGUGGUUUAUUAAGUCUGGUGUAAAAGGCAGUGGCUCAACCAUUGUAUGCAUUGGAAACUGGUAGACUUGAGUGCAGGAGAGGAGAGUGGAAUUCCAUGUGUAGCGGUGAAAUGCGUAGAUAUAUGGAGGAACACCGGUGGCGAAAGCGGCUCUCUGGCCUGUAACUGACACUGAGGCUCGAAAGCGUGGGGAGCAAACAGG
rnacentral:rRNA from 1 species